CCAGGGAAUAGGCGCAGAAUCAAUGGCAAGCCAAGUCGACAGGUGACUUCACACAUCAAAUCGAAUCAAUGGUGUUUUUCUACUGGCACAUUAGUGCAAAAAAAUGACAAUUGAUAGCCUCUCCUUUAGCUAUCAUACCAUGUGUUGUGUCACUAAGUUACGAUCUCAGCUGCGGUCUACAUAUUUUCAGAUUAAUGAAGCUUAUAGCCCUCCAAUGCAGUAUCUGUAUGCUUUACAAAACUAUCCGAGUAUUGCAAAAUUGUAUGAUACAUCAAAUUGGAGCAUAGCCUACAUACUUAUGGACUGUGGACUUAUGUUGCUUAUUUAGAGGCUGCCGUACAUGGAUCAGGUAUGAUAUUGAUUGCAGAAAUUUCUAUACGACUCUUGCGGAUUUCAACCUUGUUCUUCUCCCUAAUUUAGGAAAACUACAAGUAUUUGGUGCACGAUCUAAAAUAGCUGCAGGCUAAUCCUCCCCUAAUGUUCAUAAUGUUCUGUGGUACACAAUAUGGGUAAAGGAGAGCACAUUGCUCUAAUGUUUUUCCAUAUGAUAUUAAAUCAGACAUUUCAGUGGAUAAUAUAUGGUAUUGACUUGGACAUUGGUGUUGUGGAACAAUCUAGCAGGUAUUGGAUCUUAUAGAAUUAUAGAGUUGGCAGGGUCUGAAAAUCAUGGUGUUGGUGUUUCAGCCUAUUAAUCUGUAGAUAAAGAAAGUCCAUACAUCUCUACAAAUAAUCCUGAAGAAAGUUCUACUAUUGCGAACGCUCCAACUGAAUAAGAAAUAUGAUUUUUUUUUAAUUGAAGAAGAAGCCAGUUUCUCGAGAAGGAAUACAGAAUAAUAUUUGGGAUUAUUUACUUGAGGUCUCAGAUUCAUCGCAUCAACCGUGAGGGGUAGUAUGCAAGGAUCAACCGAUGUGGAUAACAAAAUCUGGGUGCGAGCUUCCGGGAAAUCUAAUUGGGUCUAUGCAAACAAGCAGAUUUGGAAGAUAAUCCCUGUACAUGUUGAUUUGGCAAAUCUUUGACAGUAGUUGUGGGUCUUAUACUGAUGACAAUCAACGUGUCUUUUCCGACCAACCAGGGGUCGAUUCCAACAUAUGUUUUGUCCAUCUUUGAAGCCCAUUUGCUACUCAUUGAUCUGCUUCACUCCUCCACAAGGUUCUCUUGAGCGAUGAGUCAUACUGGAUGUUCAAGGACACAGAAGGCUUCAUGAACCACAUUCUCUUGCUGAACUUUUUUUUGGCAUCAUAACAACGAUUCCCAUGAUCUUUCUAUGGUAAAACCUUCAGUCUUGUUAAUCCCGUUAUCUUGAGUUAUGAUGGUAUAUGAAUUUUUUUCCAUUGGAGCAACAAUGUCAUUCUUUUUUAGCCUGCAACUAUGAUGUUUCCAUUCAAGUUACUGAUUGCUGGAAUGCGAUUAUUUGAAGGCAUCUUAUGACCUGGUCAUAACUAGCCAAAGCUCUGCAAUAUUAGUGUGUAAUCAUAUCCUCUUUCUCUCUGCUUGUGGGUAGUGCUUUACUGAUGGACGGUGUUGGCGCGUUUAGGGCAUAAUGACCUGAGCGGUAGAUCGUACGGUGAACAACGUCGACAGCAGCGCUAGAGCGCGGCGAGGCUGGUUGAGGUUUUCUCUAUGCUUCUUUUAAUGACCACAUGUAAUUUUAUUUGAGAUCUUUUCAUGGUUGCAUUGUAUUAAUAGGUGCAGUUCAGAAAAGAAUUAGAAGUUGGAUCUCUCCUUUUGUGCUAUUAUUGCUAAAAUCAAGAGGCUCAUUACAAGGAAUUGUCAUGUUUUGUGUACCUUGUAAUAGUGACACGCAAUGGUCGUGUGAUGUUGAGUGAUAUUGAUCCUAUUUGAUAAUGGCUGGUAUAUGUUCUUUGGUGACACGCGAUUUUAUGGUUUAGGAGAGACCAAGACUGCCGAGAAAGAAAGAAGCCAAUCUGGCCCCCUGGGACCUGCGACCACAGCUGGAGAGGGCGUCUCCCCCUUGUCGACGGGGUUUGGCGCCGGUGCUCGGUGCGCCGUCUUAGCCGUGUUGGGUGGCGAGUCAGCGGCGGGCUUGGAUCCGAUCUGAAGUUGGUGGCAUCACCAUGCUUGUCCUCCUUUGUUAGCUGAUCUGCGGGCUUCCUCCGGAUGUCCUGCUCGGCUGGUUGGUGGAGCAAUGGCGAUGCAAGCUCUGGGUCGGGGGAAACCCUUCACCGGUGGUGCCGGUCACGAUGUUGGCGGCGCUUGCGGUGCCGUUCUCCCUCUGGUGGGCGACAUCGAGACCCUCUCCUCGCCUUCCACCCCAUGGUCCCGGGCGAAAGCCUAAAAUCUCUUGAUUGGGCGGCGACAGCGCGUCGGCAUCGUUUUCUUCUUUAAGACGCUGCCUUGGGAGUCCAGGAUGGCCAGGGGCUUGGAGUGGUGGUGGUUUGCCUGUUCUUCUAACGUGACCCUGCUUGGUAAUGGCGGUGGGUUCCUUGGUCUUGGCCGGUGACGGGCACGAUGUAUGGGUUCCAAUGAGAGGUGAGGUGGCCAGGGCUCGUCCUCUCCCCAACAACAUGUUGGCCAGUCCAUCCGUGCUCGACGGUGAGCUAUUCUGCCUCCUGACGGGCCGACGUCCUUUGAUCUAGGACGAGAAGGCAGGGGUGCCCUCUUCGGAGGCAGAGGUUGAAGGUAGGACAACUGGGUUGGCCCUUGGGAGUUGAUGGAGCAUGGCCUUCCUCCGGUGGUGAAUUGCUCCCUUACGCGGUUGCGUCGAUGGCAUGAUCGGAGGUCGUCGCUUGUUGUUCCAUAGUGUUUGUAUCCUGUUGAUUUUUGGUUCUCUUAUUUUCCUUCUUUGUUGUGGUGAUGGCUGUAAUGUGUGGUUGUUGCUUUAUAUAUAAAGCGGGGCGAAAACCAUGCUCAGUAAAGAAAGAAGCCGAAGAGAGUUUGAAUUUGUUGCUAUUUGAUGAAACCAGA